GCUCCCGCAAACUUAAGAGACGAUGAAGAAGAACCCAAUACACAAAAGGCCUUUACCUUUUCGCUCCUAUUUUUUUGUUUUUUGGGGAAAGUCGAGUUUUGAGGACUUACACCUUUGUUACUGGUUAAGUAUUGGUGGAUGGGAAGGUGAUCAACAAAGCCGGUACUCCAGUAUCUAAUAAAGCUGUUGUAAAGAAUAUGGCUGAAGUCCCCAAAUAUGUAUCUAGAGCAGGACAUAAGUUAGAAGCUGCUAUUUAUCGAUAUUACUGGCAAAGUAGCUCUUGAUUCAUGUUGGUCAACUGGUGGAUUUACCGACUGUUUACUUCAGUAUGGUGCAUUGUUUGUUUAUGGAGUUGAUGUUGGAUAUGGCCAGGUUGCAGAUGAACUUGUAGCAGAGUUUUCUGACCCUAUCAAUGGUGUCACAUCCCCUGAUCAAAUUGACAAGGUGCGCAUUGAAGUGGCUGAUUAUAUACAGAGUUUGAUGUAGGAAUGUGACUGCCAAGAUGUUUUUUGAGUAAGGCUAUCUAGUUUUGGCUUUGAAGCAAAGCUUGGUGUGGAACUUUUGUACAUUGUUGCUCAUAUGUUUCCAAGCUAGCUUUUGUAAGUUUAGGGGUUUAUUUUGUGAAUUAUGUUGAAUCAUGAAUUUGGAAAGAAAAUUAAUGGGAAAGCCCCUUA